CCAGGUGAGGGGAGUUCCUUACUGAGACCUGGACAACCAGGUGAGGGGAGUUCCUUACUGAGACCUAGACAACCAGGUGAGGGGAGUUCCUUACUGAGACCUGGACAACCAGGUGAGGGGAGUUCCUUACUGAGACCUGGACAACCAGGUGAGGGGAGUUCCUUACUGAGACCUAGACAACCAGGUGAGGGGAGUUCCUUAC